CACGUAGGGCGCAAGCGUUGUCCGGAAUUAUUGGGCGUAAAGCGCACGUAGGCGGCUUGGCAAGUCGGAUGUGAAAUCCCUCGGCUCAACCAAGGAAGUGCAUCCGAAACUGCUGAGCUUGAGUACUUAAGAGGAUCGCGGAAUUCCCGGUGUAGAGGUGAAAUUCGUAGAUAUCGGGAGGAACACCAGUGGCGAAGGCGGCGAUCUGGGAAGAUACUGACGCUGAGGUGCGAAAGCGUGGGGAGCAAACAGG
rnacentral:rRNA from 1 species